rnacentral:tRNA from 1 species
GGAAAUGUGGCUUAGUGGUAGAGUAUUUGCCUAGCAUGCAUGAAGCCUUGGGUUCAAUUCCUCAGUACCA